UACAGCCGUCUACCUCUGUCAUGGCAGAUAAACACACAGCGACUAAGUACAUUUGUGUUUUUCAUAGCCGCAAAGGAAGUCGGGUACAGGCUUUUUAUACCGCGCCUUUCUCUCGGUACACGCGCGGUAGGGUUUGUGGGCUAAGCGUGGUUUGGUCUUUUUUGUUUUUCUUUUUUGUGGUCUGGGAGCUGGGACUGGACAAGCUAGGGGUUAGAGUUAGAGUGGAGAGAGAGAGAUAGAGCGGUGGGUGUGUGGGACUGGGAUUGGGAUUGGGCUGGCGCGGCGGCGAGGGUUGGACCCGCGGAGGCGGGGUUUGGUGGGCGGCCAGGGGAGCGCGGUGGUGUAGAGCCUGGGGCCAGAGGGAAGGGAAUCAGGCGUCAUCGUCGUCGCGGCAGACGCUACCUCCUCGUGGCAGACGGCGGCUCCUUGUCGCGGCAGGCGGUGGUUCCUAGACGGCGCGCGGCCCUUGUCGUCGUGGUAUGCGGCCUCCUAGGCGGCGUGGCUGAAGACAACUCCUCGUCGGGCGGCAAGAAGAAGGAGGUGGCCGCUGGGGACAGGGCCGGGGCGGAGGUCUAGAGUUGUUUUGUUAUGGGGACUUCUACGCACCUCAUCCGAUGAGGAGACUGGUAUUGUUAACCGACGAUAACUGCUGCGCUCCACCAGAAUAUACAAGUCAAGAAUUAAUAGUAAAGUUUAGGAACCUGAUCACCGACCCUAGCAUAACCAAUAAACCUCUAUGGAUAAACAUGGCUUCAAGUCAAUCAUUCAACUUAUAUCGGGAGAACAAUAUCGGUACACGUCAACUUAACUUAUAAAAGCCAGGCGACGAGUGAGAACUAAAAACGAUUUUUAGAUUUUAGGAACCAGUCACCGUACAAUUAAUAUGUAACGAGCGAUCAAGAUACGUGUAUUUUAUGAACCAACCCUGACUUUUAACAUCGUGAACUCGUUCUUUCCGACUGAUGGUUAAGUAAUCGUACAGUUAUUUCAGUUAGACCAGAAGGAGAUCCUUGAACAAUCCCGAGUAAUUAUCGUAACAAAACGAGUGACUUUAUCCUCUCCUCGACGUGUUCUUUCUUUUUCCUGUUUACCGGUUCAUGUGAACCGCCUUCUAACUGCUUUGUCUCUCCGUCUCUCGUAUCCAUUUUUGACUCUGGUUUCCGUGACUCUGAACUCAUUAUCAAGAUCAUUCGAGUGUUAUGAUGAAGGUGUUGGCACUUACCAUUUAAAAUCUUCAUGUUUAUUUUCGUAUCUUUAACUGUGUUUAACGAUCAAAUCCAUAAGUUACUAAAGGCUUGUCUAACUUUCAGGUUCGGAACUACUUAACUGUCAGGUGUGUACAAGAUACUUCAUAAAAUUUGCUUUAACGUUAACUUUAGGUCUACGUCGAUGACAUCUAUAUAAACAACGAUAAUCGUGUGUAAAAAAGGGAUAGGUUCCAGAAGAUGAUAAAGUUAUGGGUAGUGUACACUUUUAGACACCACUAUUUUCUUUGUUUAGAUGUCAGACAUUAAACAAGGACUUUCACUUUGAAUUGUUACAGUCACUCACCACUUUACAUGUGAGAACAAACUAGAUUAAAGACCUAAAGGAAAGGAACAUGAAGAUUCUUUUGUUAAUUCACAUACCUUGUGUUUCUGUUGUAAUCAACGUAGAAAGUAACUCCUUCUUUGAGUAAUCUAGAUAGAUCAAACUUGUUUAAAUACAGAUUUGACAGUAUAAAUAAGUGUCUAAAACAGACGAACGAAGCUUUGUAUUUACGCCGACAACGAACGACUAUUAAAGCCAAUACCACACCGACGGAUAAUGAGUUCUACUAGAGUAUAGUAUAGUAGUUAAAGUCCUUGUAAUAGAGUCGACAGCAAGUAAAGUCUUGUUUAGCAACCGUAACAUGGAAGUUUCCUGAUAGGAAAACGGAUGGCUCGUGUGUUUUGUUUACACAGAUACAUAAAUAAAUUCACUUUGUUGUACGAGGGUAAAAACCAGUUAGCCACCUAGACUGAUUAUGUAUUGAUGUAUAUAUACACACUCCAUAAUAAGUACACAGUAAAAAACAUUAAGCUCAUUCGAUUUUGACUACCAGAGUCUACCAAACACAAAAUUGAAACUAGUCUUGGACGUAGAUGUUUAUGACUCAUCUCCCAACGGAAAACACGUCCUUAAACGCCGUCCUAGAGAACGUACACGAGAGGCGAACAGGAGUGAGGAAUCUGGAAGGGAAACGAAUAGUGGUAUGUAAAAUAACUCUCGCCACAGUUCUACGUAGAGGAGACGUUUCUACUACCCGUCUACCGGAUUCGAGAUCCCAGUUUACCGCCCUUCAUAGUUCAGCUUCUAUAAUACCGAAACCAUGUAGAAGAUAAAAGAAAUUUACCUUAAACUACAGCCAAACCACUAGCUUCUGAACCCGAGAAGGUAUCACAUCACAUCUCACUAGCUUGUGAACUUCAGAGAAAACUUGAUCCGGGUAUAAAACAUUGUACGGUGUUGAACAUACAACUAAACUCAUAAAAAAGUUACCAACAUCGUUCCUUUUGAUUACCUAGGAGAUUUAUACAACUUAUUUACGUAACCACUUACCGUAGAACACUACUUAUCUUCUCACAUUAACAACCAUAUAGAUGACGUUUCACUUGUACU
rnacentral:rRNA from 1 species